GACACAGUGGGUGCAGUUGGUAGCAUUGUUGUCUUGCAGCAAGAAGAUCCUGGGUUCGACUCCCGGCUGGGGGUUU